rfam:Physcomitrella patens subsp. patens PHYPAscaffold_322 genomic scaffold, whole genome shotgun sequence.
GUCUCUUGGGAGACAUCUGAUUAAAUCAGAACGAUACAGAGAAGAUUAAUAUGGCUUGCGCUCGGAUGACUCACUCAAACCGAGAGAAUAGUCCGAAUUUU